rnacentral:rRNA from 1 species
AUUGAACGCUGGCGGCAGGCCUAACACAUGCAAGUCGAACGAGUUGCGGACGGGUGAGUAAUGUCUGGGAAACUGCCUGAUGGAGGGGGAUAACUACUGGAAACGGUAGCUAAUACCGCAUACCAUCGGAUGUGCCCAGAUGGGAUUAGCUAGUAGGUGGGGUAAAGGCUCACCUAGGCGACGAUCCCUAGCUGGUCUGAGAGGAUGACCAGCCAAACGGGAACUGAGAAAGGGACCAGACACGUACGGGAGGAAGAAGUGGGGAAUAUUGGACAAUGGGCGCAAGCCUGAUGCAGCCAUGCCGGGUGUAUGAAGAAGGCCUUAGGGUUGUAAAGUACUUUCAGCGGGGAGGCGGUACCCGCAGAAGAAGCACCGGCUAACUCCGUGCCAGCAGCCGGGGUAAUAC